AUAACGACUCUCGGCAACGGAUAUCUCGGCUCUCGCAUCGAUGAAGAACGUAGCGAACUGCGAUACUUGGUGUGAAUUGCAGAAUCCCGUGAACCAUCGAGUCUUUGAACGCAAGUUGCGCCCGAAACCUUUGGUCGAGGGCACGUUUGCCUGGGU
rnacentral:rRNA from 1 species